AAUUUGAUAUCUAAAACAUCUAUCCCUCUUCAUUCCCAUGGCCAUGCACUAGAUCAGAUCCCCUCACCUCCUGCCCAGAUUCAUUAAUGCCCUUUUCCCACCUCCAGUCCAUCUAAAUCAUGACUAGGAGUCUGAUAGUCAUUCCUACCUCACUGCUGUCAUCUCAUCAGGCUCCCAUCACCUAAAGAGUAUAAGCCAAAUUCCUGUGACUAACACUUAACACGCUCAGGGAUCUGAGAGGCUGCUUUCCAGAAUCUUCCCAGAAAUAUACCCCAGAAACGCUACUUUCCAUUGGAUCUAAUGCCAUCUUCCCAUACUAGGGUCAAACUAGAAAAUUGAGUAGUGGGAAGGAAGUCAGGUUGGACCUGACACCUAAGGAAUCUCCCUUUGGAUGCCCUAAUGUCAGCUCUAAUUCUGACAGGAACAGGCUUACUGAUCCCUUUGUCUCCCACCUACCUCUAAGCCUUUAAUAAGCUCCUCAUCACUGCUGAGAUAACGUCCUAGUUCCCUGAGUUCAUCAAGUGCUGCUCUCCUCUUCCUCGUUAAAUUAGCAACUCCCUUCUGCCUCUUUGUCCUCUUUAACAGAGUCUUCUUCUACAGUUAUCUGUACCAGUCAGCCAAAGCUAAAAUAAGCUGCUGUAACAAAUAGCUCCAAAAUCUUUGUGGGUUACAAUGGCAAUGUUUAUUUCUUACAGAUAUUGUGCAUCUGCUCUGGGUCAGUGGCAAAUCUACUCCAUUUCCUUUUCACUCCAGUAUCUAGGCUUAUGGGGCAGCUCUUCCAAGGAACAUUACUAACUUCAUGGCAGAGGGAAAAGAGGAUAGUGGGACCUCACAGUGGCUCUUAAAGCUUCUGCUUGAAAGUAGCAUGUAUCACUUCCAUUCAUAUUUCAUUGGCCAAAGAAAGCCAAAUGGCUUCUUCUGAGUCCAUUCGGAACAGAUGUAUGAUAUUCAUUACAUUAGAGGAACUGCAAAUCACACGGUCAAGCUUGACUUGAGUGGUCAUGAAGGCAUAAAAUAAAUGCUUUGACCAAGAAAACAACCUACUAUGCCAUUCUAGUCACGGACUCUAUCACCUUACUCCUGGAUUAUUAAAUCCCAGGAGAUGACGAAUUCUAACCUAAUCUGGUCCCAAUGGAUGUGUUCCUACAGAUUACUUUGGGUCUUCUUGCACUGGUGUCUUUGUAUUAUAUCAACAGUGGAGUAGCUGCCUUGUUGUUAUUUCCUAAAUGCUACUAUCACCUUGUCUUCAGUAGCUCCCUAUUGCAAAUCAGUUCAAAUCUAAAUCCUGUGACCUCAUGUUCAAGCCUUCCAUCAACUGGUCCUCCCUUUCACGUUCAACUGCAUCCUAGCUCCAACUCCUCAGAUCCAGCCAGGGGUCUGAUGGGGUUCCUCACAACUACUCCAGUAUUUUGCUUGUGUUUCCUCUUGUUCCCUCCUCCACUCUUUCUUUUCCAACAAGUAUGUGUCCUUCAAUUUCUUUAAGAGUUGUCUCAAAUCUCAUCUUCAAAAAAAUAUCCUUGAAUAACUAUCUUCUAUUCUUACAAUCCUCAGAAUUCAGAAUUACAGCUGUGUACUCUUGUUUUUAUUUUCUGCUUCUAGAGCCAUUGUGUACUGCUGUGAGAAAAGACCUUGGGAAUUUCCUAUUCCACACACACCACCUUCCCUGAAUUUAGGUAUGAGGAAAUUGAGACUCAGGAAAAGAAUGAGCAGAAAAGUCACUAAUUUAUGGAGAGGCUAAGUUGGGAAGACAAUUAAAUCUUCCAGCUCCUUGUUAGUAUUCUUCCCCUAUAUCAAUUUGCCUCUUUUAAUUUAUAUCUAUUUCUCCAACUAGGUGAUAAUCUACUGUAGGGUAGGGAUGCCUCAUUACAUUAUCUGUUAUACAAGACCCUUGGCAUAUAUUAUUUCUAAUUCUAGCAACAGCCUUGCAAGGUAGCAAUUAUUCUUAUGUUACCAGUGAGAAGACUAAGGGUUAGAUAACUCAAGUUAUGGGCCCAAGAUCAAAUAAACAGUAAAUGACAAAGCCAGGGUUUAGUGCAUGCCUACUGUGUGCUUGAAAUUGUGCUAGUUUUAAUUAAAAUGCAAUUUACUUAAAAAAUAAAUUCCACAACUUCAACAUUGUUCAUAAUAAAUCUCAGGUGUGUAAUACAUUUGGGGCUAUGGAGAUUUAUGUAGAACAAGCAUUGUGACCGAGAAACUGGGAAAGAAAUUGGACUUAAACUUGGUGAUUAAGGAUGCACAGGAUAUAUAUAAUCUAACGAGACAUAGUGGGCGGACGCAGGUAUUUCCAACAAGGAUAAGGGUGUAAGCAGAAACUGGUAAAAAUGGGUUGUUGGAAAAGAGGGAAAAAUUUGUUUUGCAGAAGCCAUAGUUUUUGUAGGAGAAUCAUGUAUAGUAAGUUAUAACAAUAGAUUGAGGCAAAGUUAUGGAAGCCUUUGAAUGCCAGGUUAAGGUAUUUGAGACUUAUUCUUCAGGUUAUGGGGAAUCAUCGAAUGUGGUUGACCUAUAAAAGUAGAGUUUUAGCCAGUUGCCCAAUAUGUGAGUAGAGGGAAAAGGACUGAGAGAUGAGAGACCACUUAAAGACCACAUAAAGUGGAUUUAAGACUACUGUAAUCACCUACUCUUGAACUGAAAAGCCUGGCAUGGCGGUGGGAUGGAAAUCAUGCUAUUGGUACAAGAACUAUUACUAUUGUUUGUGAAGGGGGGAAUUGGAAAGGUGAAAUGUAAAUUUUUUAUAUUUUUUAUUUUGGGGGGAAGAUUGGCUCUGAGCCAAUACCUAUUGCCAAUCUUCCUCUUUUUGCUGAGGAAGAUUGUUCCUGAGCUAAUAUCUGUGCCAGUCUUCCCCUACGUUGCCUGUGGGAUGCCGCCACAGCCUGGCUUGAUGAGCGGUGCAUAGGUCAGCACCCGGACCCGAACCUGUGAGCCUGGGGUGCUGAAGUGAAGUGUGUGAAUUUAACCACUAUGCCACAGGGCUGGCCCCUGAAAUGUAAAUUUUUUAAGUUGCUUGUCCAAAAGUAGACAAUCCUGUUUUCCUGAAAACAUGUACGGAAGUUAUGGAUAUGAAAGCUAAUCAAAAUAUACCCUCGAGAUGAGGGAGGGAGAUUCUGUUCCCAGAGAGUUAAAAGGCUUUACACCCCCAAUCCCAUCCUAUCCUUUACACGGUCUUCAGUGGUAUGCUUCUAAUACACGUUUUUUAAUUUUGCUCUUUUCUUUCAUAAGUAAAUCCACAGUUCACUGAGCAUCCACGUGCGGCUAAAUGUGUGCUGCUUUCAACCUAAUGGCUUCCAAGUGUAUGAAUCUCUUCUCAUAAGUAUUAUCAACACUUUUAUUGUUUGCUAUUCAAUUACUUGAAAAGAUAAAAUGAAUGAAAUUUAUUUAAUUAAAAAAUAUUCAAUUUGUUGCCUGCACUUUGAUAAACAAAGAUGACACUACUCCCCAAAUGAAGUGUGGGCCACCCAGACAGAACUAUAGACAACAUCUGAAAUUUAAAAUGUUAAUUCAACAACUAGCAUACGGAAACUCAAAUGUGAAUCACCACAGGUAGUUUAGUGAUAUUAAACCUACAAUGAGGGGAAAAAGUGUAGAUUGAUUAAAAGUUGGAUUUAUGACAUAUGCAUAAAUCAGUGCACUAAUCAUAUUCAUAAAAUUCCUUAAAUCCUUCUUUAAGAAUUUUUUGUUUUCAACCCUGGAAUCAUUGUUGGACUCCUCUCUGGCCUUCUCAAAACUCAAGAUCUCUCUUAACUUUGGGGUUCAGAAAGAUCUGGAAGUAUUGGCCUAGCCAACAUCAAUGGUAGUAAAAUUUAACCACAUAGCUGCCAAAUACUAUACAGUUGUCCCUGGUAUCUGCACAGGAUUUGUUCCAGGACCCCUUGAGGAUACCAAAAUUGGAGGAUGCUCAAGUCCCUUAGCCAGCCCUCUGGGUCCGCAGGAUCCAAGGGCCAACUGUACCUUAUUCUGGAAUCCUCAUUUCUACAUUUAAUUGGGUAAUCCAGGAACAAUUAUGUGGCCUGGAUCUGUAUGACUGAUGGCUCAAUCUCAUUUCAGUGAUAAAAGGAUGAAGAUUUCAGUGGGUUUUGGAAGGUCUAGAAAAAAGGUCUUCAGUCUGCAUGACUAGUGUCCUUUUCUUACGAAGGGGCUCUGAAAAUUUUUUGUAUAGCAUGGAUCCCUUUGGCAGUCUAAUGAAGCCUAUGCAUCCCUUUUCAGAAAAAAAGUUUUUAAAUUCCUAAAAUAAAAAUACAGUUGUGUACCACGUAACAAAUUUUGGUCAAUGAUGGACCACAUAUACAACGGUAGUUCCGUAAGAUUAGUAGCAUACAACCUAGGUGUGUAGGAGGCUAUACCAUCCAAUUUUGUGUAAGUGCACUCUAAGAUGCUCCCACAAGGACAAAAUCACUUUAUGAUGCCUUUCUCAGAACAUAUCCCCAUUGUUAAGUGGCGCAUGACUGUACGUACAACUAGAAAGCAAGCCAAUUAGACUGAAACUUGGUUAUCAAAAUACUGAAAAACAAAUUUUUGCUAUGUUAACACAUGUACCUCUUUAUUAAUACUUUAAAUAACAAGGCCCAGGAGCAGGUCUAAUGACUACUACGAUUUUGACACCAUGAUAAGUGUUGACAACAUUUUGAGAUAUCUGCUACAACUAUAAAGUGAUAUGAAAAAUGUGUGUGAUUUCUCACGGUGAGAGUUACAGAUACUGCUAACAUGACAGUGGUUUGCUGUCUACAUUUAUCAUGGAAGGAAAUGUUUAAUUUCAGUCUGGGAUUAGUACACAUGAAGAUGCAAAUUUUUUCCCUUUCAAGGCCACAGACCAUCCCCCUCAAUUUUGUUAGUAGCUAGACCUCAGGCUAAGAACGUGGAUAUUAAAGGAUUGUUUCUAAGUAAAACAUAAGCUCUCAGUGCUCAUCAGAGAUCAUAGAAACAUCUACUCAGGCAGCGUGGAAUUGACCCAUUGUCACUCUGGGAAGCCAUCCAUUGAGCUUGCUCACCACCGUAACUAGUACCUAGCAUCAUGCCUGACCCAGAAUAGAUAUUCAGUGCAUAUUUGUUGAUCGACUGCAUGAAGAAAGGAUUGGAGAGACAAUGGAGUGAAGUUGGAUUUGGCUCUCUAAAGGUCCUUUCUUCUCGAACAUUCUAAGACUCUAUGGCUCCCUAAAAAAUGCAGAAGGAAAUAACUGAAGCCUGCUCACAGGCCUGCGGCUGCCAAGAAGUGACCGCAGGAGACAGGGCAGGCAGGGGGAGGAACAACAAUGCAAUGCAGCAGGGGUGGAAUGGGAGGGUGGUCAAAAGCUCAACAAUGAGCUACAGCUCUCUCCCAGAGAUAAAGACCCAGAUCAGAAAAUGGGGCUGCUGCACCCAGUUACCACAGAGGGUAACAGAAGGGCAGAGGAACAGCUGAGGCUGCCCAUCUGUUUUUUUCUGCUGCAUGUCUGUCAGCAUCGGCAACGGACAGGAAAUUCAUUCAUCAAGAUCCUGGCUCAUAAUUCUCUUGAGGAGGAGAUUAUUUGUAAGCUCAAAGUCUUUUUGUGUCUCUGACAAGUGUCACUAGCUGAAAGUGUUGACUGAGGGUGCCGCCCACCCCUACCACCUGGAAAGGAAAGAAGAAAGGCUGAAUUCACACAGGCUUGUGAAGUUCCUGGUAGGGCUAGGUGUUAGAAACUAAGAAGACCAUAAUAUAGAACAAUUGUUAGGGUUAAUAAUAGUCAUAUAAACUAGAUACAGAUGAAUGCAUUUAUUUCAAUUGAGAUGUUUACCCAAGUGAAGACUUUUAUAUCAGGACCUCAUAUUGUACAAAAGAGUAAUAAUAAAAAUGGCUGUCAUUUUUUCAACAUGCCUACCAGGCAUCAGGCAUCUGAUGUAAUUUUAUCUCAUUUAAUCCUCACAACAGUCCUGUGUGCAUUACGAGCUCCUGUAGUGGCUUGAAUGGUGGUCCCAUCAAAAGGUAUGUCCACCCGGAAUCUGUGAAUGUGAUCUUAUUUGGAAAAGGGUCUUUGCAAAUGUAGUUAAAUUAAAGAUCUUGAGAUGAGAUCUCAAGAUUAUUUGGAUUAUCUGGAUGGGCCCCAAAUCCAAUGACAAGUGUCUUCCUAACAAGAGGAAAAGACACAGACAGAGAAGGAGAUCACACAGAGGAGAAAGCCACGUGAAGACAAGGCAUCGGAGUGAUGUGUCUGCAAGUCGAGGAAUGCCAAGGAUUGGUGGCAGCUGCCGGAAGCUGGGAGAGAGGCCUGGAACAGGUUCUCCCUCAGAGCCUCCGGAAGGAACCAACCCUGCUAACACCUCCUUUCGGACUUCGGGCCUCCUGAGCUGUGAGGAAGAAGUUUCUGUUGAGUUAGGCCACCUGGUUUCCUCCGGGAUCUACUCAAGGCUUUGAGAAUCAGGAAGCUGUUGUUCUCUUAUUGAAAACUGCCCAUGUGACGAUGGCCAGUUGCUGACUGGGGAGGAUCUGAGUCAGAUUCCCAUCUCAAUGAAAAAAAUGACACUUUCAUUGUCAAAGAAUGACAUAAAACUGACCAUUUUAAGAAGGAAGUUUUUUCAUGAGAAUGAUGGUGUCGAGGGAGGAGAUCCAGAUUCAAGAAGAUUGUUCCUACCGUGCCUGAAGCCAUCCAUACAUGCUAAGGGCCUGAGAAAGCAGGAAAGGAAAUAAGUUUGGAACAAAAUGCUGCACACUCUCUCACCUGAAGAGAUGCUUCCUACCCAAAGAAGAGCAUGCUGUUGUCAUAAGGGGACUACUCUACUAGACCUCCUGCGAGUGAGGUGAGUGGAUUGAUGGACAGACAGACGAGAGCUUGGGGAUGGUCUCUUGCACCAAAAAGGAACAGGCAGAGGGCCGACGCAAGCAGCAGAGGUGGUCCUCUGGCCAGGGGAGUGUGUCAUAGGAAAGCAACGUACAGCGUGCUCGGAAUCCGUUUCACAAGGAAAACCGGCCUAGGUCAUUCAGUAAUAAGACUGGUAUCUGAGCUCUUGAAGGAAGCAGGGUCACGGCCUGGGUCUGAGUUUGGAGGUUCCUUAUGAGUCAUCACUGUUCCAAGUGCUUUAUCUGAACUGUAGUCUAAACAGACCUGCCCUCUGGACUUCCCUUGGAAAGAGAGAUUUCUCCAGGAAAAUCCAUCUUGAGAGGUCUUUGAAUUGCAUAAUGCAUUCAAAAUGCAGCAGGAAACAAACGAAGUCACACAGGGAUUUUCUUAAGAAAUCUGGCUACAAUUUUAAAAUUUGAUUGUAGGUCUCCUUGACAGCAGGAUAGGUGAAAUUUCAUAAAACGUUCAGUACAUCUACACUCUCUUCUAGCACUUGUGAAACUAUAUGCAAUGGAAAGAGAUCCAAACAUGCUAAUAAGCACAUGAAGAAAAAAGGCUUUCCCUAAGCAAACACUUUUUUGUUUAAUUGUUAAACAAAGGUAAGCAGUUUUCUUCACUGUGGGGCUUCUUAAAGUGUUUAAUAAGUUACCGUGCAUUGUGAAUUUCUGACAGGGGAGAUUUAAUUGUCCGUAUUAACUAAAUUACAGGAACAUUUCAUUAACAGGGCAAGGAUUAACAGCUCUCUUCAGAACACAGUUUGGGCCAUAAUAUUGAUACAUUAUUAUUAUCUAAAUUAUCAGUGCUCCUCCUCCAGUGACAUACAUAAAAAUAAAUCAUUCCAGUGGUUGAGUUAAUAAUUACAUCCUGUCUUCUUAAUCCUUGAUCGCCUGAAGUUUAGGCCCUGAACCAUUUCAAGAUUAAUUUACAAGGUGCAACAAAUGUCCUAUAAGCCACCAAGGUCUGGACUGAGACCAGGGCUGACAACUGCAUUUUCCACGCUAUUGAGCAUUACUCCACUGAUGUUCGAGAUAUCAUCAUCUCAUCAAUGCAUAAGGAAUAUUUGCCAAAGAAAUAAUCCUCCCCAAAUAUUUGCAACUAAUAGCAAUUUUGUUCUAAUGAAAAAACUUUCAUUAUAUGUGUUUUGCUUGGAACUUUAAAACUUGCAACUCCUUAACAUGAAGAAAAUUAUUACUCAAGUGAAUGUUGAAACUCCUGUGGAGCCGUUAGCUGCACUAUGCAUCGGUUGAAACUCUGCUCCACGCUCCUCAGCUAUCCGGUGCUGGGAAGGGACCUUCUGCAAGCACAGCUUCACCCAGAGUUGUCCUGAAACAGCAGGUUGCAGGCCGGGCGGGUGUUUUUCAUGCUCCCUCACACAAGUCUCUCACAUCUGACAGCUCAUUGGAGCCGCGUUGUGUUUGAAAGGAAUUACACCCAACAAUGCAGAUUGUAUAACAAUCCAAUACACCAUCUUUAAUCAGAUGCCACUGAAUUUGCUUUUAAAAGCUUUUCUUCUUUCUCCUCUUCCAAUUCGUGAGACGUGACCAGGUUAAUGACAUUUUCAAUAGCUUGUUAGAAUAAUUUCUCGUUUAGCCUUUUUAAAGAUUAGGGUGUUUGCUUCACGCUCAGCGCUUUUUCCUAUUCCAUUUUGUGUAAACUUACUGGGAGGAUUCAGUGAGUGGGCAUCAGCAACAACCAGGAAAGUCCAUAAAAUGGCAGUUGAAAGUGGUAAAUCCUCCAUGGACCCCCUCAAGGAUAUUCCUCCAACAUAACAUUGGCCACCAUUGCUCCCAGCUUUUUAAAGAAUGGCAAUCUUCCCUACUGUUACAGUUGCAUAAAUUGCAUGCUCAAGGUCACAAGAAAUCUGAAAUCCUUCUACUUUGUAAGGAGUUUUUUUUUUUUU
rnacentral:lncRNA from 1 species